rnacentral:lncRNA from 1 species
CAGUGGUCAUCACCAGGGAUGGCAUAUGACACUGCUAAGGCAGCAACAGAACUACCUUUGCACCCAGAGACACGAAACGCUUCGGAGCACUGCUCCCGCUGCCCUGGGUUCAGCACGCCGGCACACACGGCCGCCACUGGAGGGCAUGACGCCGACGGGCACGGCCGCCCACAGGAUCGCACCAGCCGAGCAGGGCUGACCUCGCGGAGCUGCCCAGCGGGGUACCGCGCCGCUCCUGCGCGUCCGCCGUCCUUCCUCCGUCCGCCGUUUUCCAGCAGCAAGCAGCGCUGUUCGCGAGCCGCGCCGCCAUGACACACCGCGCCACGCGCCCGCCCUGCAGCGCCGCCAUUUCCUGAGGGCUCCACGGCGCUUCCGGGCGCGAAAUGAGCGUGGCGUCAUUGCCCGGCCCGGGGCGCAUGCGUGAUGGCGGGCGGGGCCGGGCCGGGCCGGGCGCUGAUGACGUUCGGGCGGAGGGGUGCUGUAGAUAUCGGCGUACGCUGAAGUUUCCCCUGUGAUGCUGACUGGAAAUGAAAGGAAACCGCCUUUUUUCAGCCCGGCUUCUAGAAACGCUACGGCAAAAGCAACACAAAUGCCACCUUAUGGAUACACACUGAGCCAGACCAAACUGUGUUGCUGAUGUUCACUUAACAAACGUUGUUGGGGAUGUGCUGUGCUGUGGUUCAGAGAGUCCAUUUAUUUCAAACAGCUUAGUUUAAAACAAGGCUUUUUGUGUUCUUUCUUUUUUGGUUCCUGAUGUGACGGAGAGGAGAAAACUUGUCUUUCUGACCUGGUCUUGUCAGCGUUUUGUCACGGCAGGGCAGCACAUUUGCACAAAGUCUGCCAGAGUGGAUUUUCGGGGCUGCUCAGCCAGCGUUAGGGCUUGGCUGCAGGGCAAGAGGAGUUUCACAUUGCUGUGAUGAUGUCCUGAAAACCAUCUAUUCGUGCGAUUGGAUGCCCUCUUCACAACCACCCCCAAAAGCUGUGUCUGAUGUGACAGGUGCCGUUCCCUGCCCAGGCCCUGGCUCUGUACAGGCUGGGCACCUCGCCUGUCUCUUAGCACUUACACUGAUGCUGUAUCACUGUGGCCUUACUUACGGGAAGCUGUGUCUGAAAUAGUUGGCACCACCCACUGCUGGGAACGGGACUCUGGGUGCGUGGUGGUGGCACUGUGCUCACCCUGAGCCUCACGGAAUUCAGAGCAAAUGCUGAGGGAUGGGUUUCUGCCUUCCCAGGAGCUCUGACCUGCAGCUCAGUAAAGCAUCAGUGGCAAACCAUUAUGAAAUCAUCUGCUCUUCAAUUUCCUCCUCUUUUCUGAAAAAUAGGUACAGUUCAAGCUCAGGCCCUCACAGCAGCCUGGCAGCUCCCAGCUCUAGGCCAGGAAAAAGGAAAAAAAAAAUCUAUUUUAUUGCGUUCCUGGUGGAAAAGCAAUACUCCUUGCAUGUUCUACACUGCAGACACCAAGGGAAUCUUGUCAAGCUUAUUCCAUUUCAUCUUCAGGCUGAAGACCAAGCAGUGACACCCCCACCCCUCCUCUGAAGAGCUGCAAGAUCACCAGAAUAACGUUCUGCUUGGUUACGAGCUGUGCUGCACACUGAACUUGGUGCUCAGCAUCCUCAGGGCAAGCUCAGAGCUAAUGGAAUGAGAGAGAGGGAAGGACUGACAUCAGAGACUACUUUGCAAUAUUAAAGACAGACAGGACCAACUUCUCAUUUGAAUGAUUGCACACUGGCUCAUUUCCUCCUUCCACCCGAAGCCCAGGCAAUUGUCUUCCUCACUUCUUUCUAAGACUGAACAUUGCUGUGCUAUUCCUCAACCUCAAGGGAAGUGUAUGUGAUUAAAGGAUGAAGUAACUUCUGUUAAUUACCACGGUCUGAACUAAGAUUAGUUUUAGCUCCAGCAAUGACUCUUGCCACUCGAGGGGGGGAGCAAGCAACCCAAGAAAGGAGUGAUUCAGACUAUAACAAGUGUCCAUGGCCGCUUGCAUUUGCUAGCAGAACCCCACAGGCAGAGGUGCCUGUGAGCACUCCUGAACUUCAGUUUGC